GAUGAACGCUGGCGGCGUGCCUAAUACAUGCAAGUCGAGCGAACGGACGAGAAGCUUGGUUCUCUGAUGUUAGCGGCGGACGGGUGAGUAACACGUGGAUAACCUACCUAUAAGACUGGGAUAACUUCGGGAAACCGGAGCUAAUACCGGAUAAUAUUUUGAACCGCAUGGUUCAAAAGUGGAAGACGGUCUUGCUGUCACUUAUAGAUGGAUCCGCGCUGCAUUAGCUAGUUGGUAAGGUAACGGCUUACCAAGGCAACGAUGCAUAGCCGACCUGAGAGGGUGAUCGGCCACACUGGAACUGAGACACGGUCCAGACUCCUACGGGAGGCAGCAGUAGGGAAUCUUCCGCAAUGGGCGAAAGCCUGACGGAGCAACGCCGCGUGAGUGAUGAAGGUCUUCGGAUCGUAAAACUCUGUUAUUAGGGAAGAACAUAUGUGUAAGUAACUGUGCACAUCUUGACGGUACCUAAUCAGAAAGCCACGGCUAACUACGUG
rnacentral:rRNA from 1 species